rnacentral:tRNA from 1 species
GAGAGAUGGCUGAGCUGGUCGAAGGCGCACGAUUGGAAAUCGUGUUCACUGGAAACAGUGACAAGGGUUCGAAUCCCUUUCUCUCC